GUGGACAGCCCUCUCCGGCUAUAUCUCGCGGUGGAAGAGGUGGAAGAGGUGGACGAGGUGGACGAGGCGGACGAGAGGGUGGAGGGAGAGAUGGAGGCAGGGUAGGUUAUCCAGCCACUCAGCAAUUCCAUUCUCCGACUCCUCAGCCUACUCCGGUUGUUUCUCCUCCUCCUCGGCCUACUCCGGUUGCUUCCGCUCCUCCUCCCCAGACGUCAACGGGAGCAUCUUCUGCUUCCUCAUCGGGAACUGCUACGCUCUUACAGCCUGAGGUUUCUCAGAUCGAAGCACAAGUGGAGAAGGUGACAC
rnacentral:lncRNA from 1 species